rnacentral:rRNA from 1 species
UACGUAGGGUGCAAGCGUUGUCCGGAAUUAUUGGGCGUAAAGAGCUUGUAGGCGGCUUGUCGCGUCUGCUGUGAAAAUCCGAGGCUCAACCUCGGACUUGCAGUGGGUACGGGCAGGCUAGAGUGUGGUAGGGGAGACUGGAAUUCCUGGUGUAGCGGUGAAAUGCGCAGAUAUCAGGAGGAACACCGAUGGCGAAGGCAGGUCUCUGGGCCACUACUGACGCUGAGGAGCGAAAGCGUGGGGAGCGAACAGG